rnacentral:siRNA from 1 species
GGAAGUCCUCGUGUUGCAUCCCU